UAUUGCUUCAUCAAUCAAGGAAAUUUUUUUUUCUCUUUAUCCAAAUUUUCACGUGCUUUCAUCAACUGAUUUCUAAUUAUAUAUUUUUUAAUUUCUCUCUCACACGAUACCGGCAGCUGAUUUAGAAUCUAUCAUAUACUUUGUCUCCCAAUCAUUCCAAUAUCUUUCCUACUGGGAUUACCCCCAAUCAGGUUCUUCUUCGUAGAAUCUACUCUUCUGUGAAGUUUUGUAUUUGCAGUAGUAUUAGAUUUUGCUUCUCUACCACUAUUUGAUGGUCCUCAUUAUUUGAUUUUCUGCUAGUUUAUACUUUAUCACCGGAUUUUGCUUCUGCUUAUUCUAUUAGUUCUUUCUUAAUUUCGAGGACAUCUGUGUGUCCAUUACUUAAUCAAGCUGCUGCUGCUUCUGGGAAUUGGGGCAUUUGGUAUGGAGUGUUUUUGCUUCUGUAGAAUAAUACUUACCUUCAGGGAUCAGUUAAGUUUGAAACUGUUGCCGUGAACUUCAUAUUAUUGGGAGCUGUUUUUUGUUUUUUUUUGGUUGGAAAGAGUAAAGAAUCGGAUUCUAGGUCUGCUUACAUUCACAGCUUCGUUCUUUCUGAAUGUUUAAUAUUUAAGCUUUUCUUGCAUCUGAGUGUUAUAGCGGAAGAAACAGGAGGUUUUACUGUUUCUAUUGGUGGCAUCAUACUAUAUUUCAUUUUGGUUUUAGUUAUUCUUGAAAGCAAUGGCUAACUUCACUGGAAGUUUCUUUAUUUCAAUAGACUAGACGUAGAUAUAAUUCCCUGUUUUGGCGGCAUCCCAUAGACUUCUUAGGCAAGAAUUGAAAAUGAGUUUCCUUUGGUUUGUUUCAUCGUUAUCUCUCGUUUGUGGUACUUUUCCUCUUGGAUUUGGUAAGAACAUUUCGUCAAGACCAUCGGUUGUGAAUAUUGGUGCUAUUUUAUCUUAUAAUUCUACUAUUGGAAAAGUUGCCACUAUAGCCAUUGAAGAAGCUGUGAAAGAUGUGAAUGCGGAUCCCAGCAUUCUUCCCGGAACCAACCUUUGGUUACAAACGCAAAAUUCCAACUGUAGUGGGUUUCUGGGCAUGGUUGAAGUUUUGCAACUUAUGGAGAAUGAAACCGUUGCCAUCAUAGGCCCCCAGUCUUCUGUUGUUGCCCAUAUUUCAUCCCAAGUUGCAACUGAGUUCCAAGUCCCUCUGGUCUCCUUUUCAGCUACUGAUCCUACCCUCUCUGCCCUUCAGUUUCCUUUCUUUGUGAGGGCUGCACAGAGUGAUUUGUUUCAAAUGACUGCGAUUGCUGAGAUUGUUGAAUUCUAUAAGUGGAAAGAGGUCAUUGCUAUAUAUGUUGAUGAUGAUUAUGGGUGGAACGGAAUUGCAACACUGGGUGAUAAACUUGCCGAAAGGCGUUGUAAAAUCACAUAUAAGGUGGGUAUUAGUCCAGAUUCUGUGGAUAAUCGAGCCCAAGUUAUGGAUCAGCUUGUUAAAGUUGCUCUAAUGGAAUCAAGAGUUAUGAUUCUCCAUGUGAACCCCAAAUUAGGCACCUUAGUAUUUUCAGUUGCUAAGUACCUUCAAAUGAUGGGCAAUGGAUAUGUAUGGAUAGCGACUGAUUGGCUUACGUCUCUAUUAGACAGUGUUGUUCCUCUCCCUUUUGAAAAAAUGGAGUCGAUGCAAGGAGUUAUUUCUCUACGGCAGCACACAGCAGAAUCUGAUAAAAAGAGAGCUUUUCUUUCCAGGUGGAAUAAGUUAACAGGUGGCUCUUUAGGUCUCAAUACUUAUGGUCUGUAUGCUUAUGACUCUGUUUGGAUGGUUGCUCAUGCCAUCGACAAAUUUUUCAGUCAAGGUGGGGUCGUCACACACUCUAAUGACUCCAAGUUGCAUUUCAGUGAAAGUGGUGAUCUUCAUCUUGAAGCUAUGACAAUCUUUGAUGGUGGAAACCGCCUACUGAAUAACAUAUUGGAGAGUGAUUUUGUUGGUCUGACUGGUGCCAUUAAGUUCGAUUUGGACAGAUCUCUUAUUCAUCCUGCAUAUGAUAUUAUUAAUGUUAUUGGGACUGGAUCAAGGAGGGUGGGUUACUGGUCCAACUAUUCUGGUUUAUCAAUUGAUGCUCCAGAGAUUCUCUAUUCCAAACCACCCAAUCGUUCACACGCAAAUCAGAAGUUGUACGAGGUGAUAUGGCCAGGAAAUACAAUUGAAAAGCCUCGAGGAUGGGUAUUCCCAAACAAUGGGAAGCUAUUAAAAAUUGGUGUGCCACUUCGGGUCAGUUACAAGGAAUUUGUGUCAAAAAUCAAGGGGACAGAAAAUUUCCAAGGUUUCUGCAUUGAUGUGUUUACGGCUGCUGUAAACUUAUUGCCGUAUGCUGUUCCGCACGAAUUUAUAGCCUUCGGCGAUGGCCAUCACAAUCCAAAUUACACAGAUCUUGUGUAUGGGAUUACAACUGGCAAAUUUGAUGCUGUUGUUGGAGAUAUAGCCAUUGUCACAAGCCGUACAAGGCUUGUAGAUUUUACUCUGCCAUAUACUGCUUCUGGACUAGUUGUUGUGGCUCCAUUCAAAAAACGGAACACUGGGGCUUGGGCUUUCCUGCAUCCAUUUUCUCCCGCCAUGUGGAUGGUCACAGCUAGUUUCUUCUUUUUUAUUGGAAUAGUCGUCUGGAUUCUGGAGCAUAGGACUAAUGAUGAAUUCAGAGGCCCACCUAAAAGACAAUGUAUUACAAUUUUAUGGUUUAGCUUCUCAACUCUAUUUUUUGCCCAUAAGGAGAACACAAUUAGCACUCUUGGCCGCCUAGUGCUAAUCAUAUGGCUCUUUGUGGUUCUGAUAGUAAAUUCUAGCUACACUGCCAGUUUAACAUCCAUUCUCACAGUGCAGCAGCUAUAUUUUCCAAUCACUGGAAUUGAAACCUUGAGGGAAGGUGACGAACCAAUAGGUUUCCAAGUUGGAUCAUUUGCUGAACGCUAUCUGAGAGAGGAGCUGAACAUAUCUAAAUCUAGGCUUAUUCCUCUUGGAUCACCCGAAGAAUAUGCCAAGGCACUUGAACUUGGCCCUGACAAGGAGGGGGGUGUUGCUGCUAUAGUUGACGAACUUCUAUAUGUAGAAAGUUUCCUCUCGAGACAGUGUUCAUUCAGAGUUGUUGGUCAAGAGUUCACAAAAAGUGGCUGGGGUUUCGCAUUCCCACGAGAUUCUCCCUUGGCUGUAGACUUGUCGACGGCCAUUUUGCAGCUCUCAGAGAAUGGUGAUCUGCAACGGAUUCAUGACAAAUGGCUAGUGAAAAGUGCUUGCACCAUGGAAAAUGCAGAGCUAGAAUCAGAUCGACUUCAACUUAAGAGCUUCUGGGGUCUUUUUCUAAUAUGUGGGAUAGUUUGCUUCAUUGCCCUUGCCAUAUAUUGCUUUCAGAUAAUUCGUCAGUUAUACCAUACUGAACCGGAAGAACCCGAUCUAUCUAGCAAUAGUGGAUCACAUUCUAACCGCCUUCGACGAAUUAUAUCACUAUUGGAUGAGAAGAAAGAAUCUUCUAAAAGGGGAAGCAAACGAAGGAAAGUUGAGAAAUCAUCUGAAAAUGAUAAGAACAAUGAUCAUUUGGGGGUAGAUCCUUGAGAAGUUGGAAAACAGAAACUGAAGCAACCAACCAGGUUCACUAUGUGGUCUUCUUAUCAAUAAUUUUAAGGCUUUACAGAGAUAAAUUGUUCUCUAAUUCAGUUUGAGAGCUGUAACUGUAUAAUUGAGCCAUCUCUUUCAUAGGUUUAGAACUGUAUUAUGUGCACUUUUGGGAAGUCAUUGCCUUCUGAUAAAGGAUGUUGGAGGAAAUGAACAUGUACAGGGAAGUUCAAAUUGAUAACCCACAAAGAUCUAGAGCAACCACAGGAACAAAAGGCAGUAGCUGUGUCAUGGCUUACAGUAUUCGCAUAUUGGAACUAGAAUUAGACCAUUUUGUAUUCUAAUUUUAGAAAAUAAAUUAAAGGAAAUAUCUAAAUUUAAAAAACAAAAUGGACCACAAGAUGUGGACUAAUUUGCAAUGCAAAGAUGAGGAAGGAAAUAAAGGUGAUGCUGUUUUUCAUUCAUUCCUGUCCCAUUUCAAAGGUUAUUGCAGCUUUUAGAACACUGCCUUCAAAUUUUAUAAAUGGAUAGAUUCAAAUCUCUUCCUUGAAUUUGAAUUCGAAUUCAAAACAAACAUUGUACAGUAAUGCACAAGAACAGCCUAGACUUAAAGCAGCCAGCGAGACACAUGAUGCCUAAGCUUCAUAAACUUUGCACUCUUCGUCGGCUGGGUUAGUCUGGCAGAAGUCCUCCAGUGGAUCUCCACUUUUUCCCGACCCCGCUCCCGGCCAUUUGGUUGCCACCAAAUGAGCCAAGUCGACAACUCUUUGGCUGCAGACAAAAAAAGAGGCAAAUGAAAAUUAAUAUGCUUUGGUUUACAAUGUUAAGGGGAACAUCAUUUUUUCAUGGACGGAAGUCCUCACCUGUAUCCCCAUUCAUUGUCGUACCAGGCAACAACCUUGAGCAUAUCAUCUCCCAUUACCAUUGUUAAUGACGAGUCAAUAGUGGAGGAAACAUCGGUACACUUGAAGUCCACAGAAACAAGAGGGAUGUCACACACAGCUAAAACACCCUUCAACGGUCCAUCAGCUGCCUUUCUGAAAGCAGCAUUGACAUCGUCUGCGGAGAUGCCUUUCUUCUCAAUGUUCACAACGAGAUCAACAACUGAAACAUUUGGAGUAGGCACACGAAGUGCAAUACCAUUGAGUUUGCCCUUAAGCUGGGGCAACACAAGGGACACAGCCUUUGCUGCACCAGUGCUUGUAGGGACAAUGUUCAAAGCUGCAGCCCUGGCUCGUCUCAAGUCACGGUGCGAUGCAUCCAAAAGUCUCUGGAAUAUAAUCCCAAAAACAUGACGAGGUUAUAAGAUCUUUCUCACUUUCAAGAAUCGUUUAUCAAAUCAAUGUCAUAUUGCAUUCAUUCUAUGAUCAUUUGUAUAUUUUCUUUACCUGGUCUCCAGUGUAGGAGUGAGUUGUUGUCAUGGUUCCCUUCACAAUGCCUGAAUUUAAUCAUAUAUCAAAUGGUUAAAAUCAGGAAACAAAGCUGGUCGACCAAAAUGAAACCAACUGCUUACCGAAUUCCUCGUCGAUGAUCUUAACAAAUGGAGCGAGGCAAUUGGUGGUGCAAGAGGCAUUGCUGCAUAAAAAUUAAAACAAAAAUCUUGAAUUAUCAGAAGCCUGACCAACCAAACCAAUCAUAAAUGAUUACUUAGCAGCUUGAAUGAAAAAUGAAUUUAUUUCCAGUUAUGGAAAUUGUUACACUGACCUAAUGAUGUUAGCAACAUCAUGGUAGUAAUCUUUUUCAUUCACCCCAACAACAUAUGUUGGAAUAUCAGCACCUUUUGCAGGAGCAGUGAUGAUAACCUUCUUUGCACCUGCUUGGAUGUGUUUCCCUGCACCUGGGCCAUCCACAAACACUCCUGUACCCUGCAAAGGCCAUGGAUAUUAAUAACUUAUCCUUGGACACAACUAUUAAGCUUAUUAAUUAUUAAUGGAUGUGGAUGAUCUGAUAUUAAUCGAGAAAUUCUUAAAUCAACCUCAAUAACGAUGUCGAUGCCAAGCUCUCCCCAAGGAAGCUUAAGGGGAUCCCUGCUCGAGACAACCUUGAUUGGCUUUCCAUCAACAGAUAUUGUUUCAUUGUCUACAAUUUUCACUUCUGCUUUGAAAGUUCCCAGCAUGGAAUCAUACUUUAGCAAGUGGGAGGCCUGAAAAUUUUCAUUUAAAUCAUUCAUCCUUUAUGAAUGGCGAGACUACUAUGUUCUAAGUAGAUUAAUUCUAGAAAGUGUUAUAUGAUUAAAUGUAUUGAGAGAUAAAUAUUACUUACAUUCUUGACGCCACCACUGUCAUUGACGACAACAACGUCAAGAGGUGAAUCUUUCCUGCCAUGCCAGCACCGCAGGAAGUUUCUGCCGAUACGUCCAAAUCCAUUGAUUGCCACCUUAAGUUUAGCCACUGUUUCUCCUCUAACAGGAGUUGAUCCUACUACCUGUUAUGAAAGAAAAUGUUUCUAUUCCGUUAGUAAGAAGCAAAAUGAAUAUGGGUCGUUUAUUAUUACUCAAAACUAAGAUAGAUUAUUCAUAUACAUUUCAUCGAACUCUAUCAAUUUCCUCAAAUACAUUGAUCUCUUUGUCACCAAAUCGUGUACAAU